GUCGCACUCCAGAUCCCGCGUUUGCGGCAUGCAUGGCACCACCUUGACACAGAGUGAGCUUUCUUCUUCACUAACCAACCCAUUACAGAAUAAAUUAGAGUAACACGUAUGUGCAGGUUGCCAGUUUAGAAUUCAGUGAGUGCUGGUGAUGUGCUUGAAGAUGAGACCUCAUUGGGAGUCUGAAAGUGUGUCUCCCUUGGCAUAAGCACCAUGGGAAACAGAGACAACCGGCUCCGUCCUGCUCUAGCGUCGCCGUCCGUUGACCCAACGAACAAGAAACGCAUCAACAGGAGAAGCACGGCACAUAUAUUUAAUGUUGUUGCAAUUGGUAAGAUAAUAGGAUGCAACACUUAUUUUACCAGUUCUAAAGCAUGACUAAGUAUGGAAAGACCAGAGGCAGGUGUUAUUUUCUCUUCUAAACUUCUUUUGCUUGUCUAUCUCCCUAUUGGUAUGCAGGUCUUUAAUUGAUAGUUUAUUAUAUAGAGUUUGUUUUAUAUAGAGUUUAUUAUAUAAAGUGAUCUCAAGGCGUUGGGCAUCCUGAUGGUAAGUACAUUACACAACAGGCAUUUCUUGGCUCCUCACAUCCUUCAUCCAAGAUUAAUCUUAGUAUGGUCUGGCUAUACUUUACAUAAACUGUAUACUCAACUGUUAAACAAGUACACAGAAUGAUAGAAGUACUUAGAAUGCAUCAUUUUGCUCAGGAACUGGACGGAACUUGCUUUACAGAAGUACUGCAUGCUCUUCUAUUUUUUAUCGGACGAUAUGGCACAUAAGUUAAUGCCAAAUUCAGUGUAAAGUAAUUCUUUUGUAAGUCGGCAUCCUUAUUUUUGCAUAUGUAUAUUUUGAUUCGAGGCGCAAAGGUCAAGCUUACGGUGCAUGUUCUUUUAGGGCCCUAGGAAGAAGAGUACCUUUUCCUUGGAAUCGAGAGCGUAGGGCAAUGGCCAUGGGGUACCAUGUUGAAAAGUAGGGAGAUGUGGUAGUUUUUUUUUUUUUUGCUCAUCUGAAGUUCGGCAUAUUUUAUUGGCAUGUCUUGUAAGGCUAAAGAUAAAACAAUGUGGGGUCUCUUUUAUUGGCAUGUUUCUGUCUUGGUAAGCAUGCAUCAAACAGGCCUAGGUUGGUUAGAACAAGGUGUGGCGGUCAAGAGAUGAUGCUGUAAGAUUAUUAGACUGCUGUUAUUUCUAGUCUGCAUGCAUUUCUGGCCGGACCAGCUGGUUAACUGAUGCGGCACUGUGUCAGCGAAACUGGGGCAAUAUUUUCAAUUUUUCAUUGUUGUAUACUAUUGUUACACAUACGAUUUCAUAGUUUGGCAAGUAUCACAGAAUUUGUGGUUAAGUCAUUUGUGAAUAAUGUUUAGUUUCCCGCUUGGCAUGUUUCUUUACAUCAAUCAAUCAGAUUCACCGCCGUUGGCCAGAGUUGCGCCUAAUUCAUACUGAUGUUAAGGAUAAACUCUCUGUUUUCUAAUAGGUCAGACUGGAUUCUAUGUUCUGUCCAUGCCCUGUUCACUGGCAUUGCCUCUUGAUUCCCCUCUUAAAGUAGAAGAUCCACACUAAGCAUAGCAAGUCCACUAGAGGAGCAAAUGUUGUUUAUCACCGCAUCUCUUCUCAUGUUGACAAGCAAGCCCGAUAUCUAUGAAGGCACUGUACAAGGCGGCGACGGCGUACCCGCUCAGUACCUGCAGCCCUUGGUAGGACAGGAAAAGAUGCUGAGCUUCUCGGCCUUGACGACGUCCUCGUGCCUCUCUCUAAAAUGGCAGAUCUGUUUUGUUUCUCUGGUGGGACUGCAGUUCUUCCGAAGCUUUGCUUUUCGAUAUGACAUGUUUAUACUUUAGUUAUGCUUCUCAAGCAGCAUUUGAAUGGUUCUCAGACUACUUUCUCUUGUGAUCGCCUUAGCGAUGAGGAGAUUCGAGUGCAUCUUAAUUAUUGACACCUCAUUCUAUGACAAGCUCGGCAAGAAAGGCGGCAGCUGAC